UGCCCUAAAAGCUGACAUUCAUGUGGCAAGG
rnacentral:piRNA from 1 species